rnacentral:rRNA from 1 species
CGGAGGGGCGUAGCGUUGUUCGGAAUUACUGGGCGUAAAGUGCACGUAGGCGGCUUUGCAAGUUAGAGGUGAAAGCCCCAGGGCGUCAACCCCUGGAACUGCCUUUUAAGACUGCGAGGCUUGAUCACGGGAGAGGUGAGUGGAAUUCCGAGUGUAGAGGUGAAAUUCGUAGAUAUUCGGAAGAACACCAGUGGCGAAGGCGGCUCACUGGACCGUUGAUGACGCUGAGGUGCGAAAGCGUGGGGAGCAAACAGGAUU